ACUUAAAUUGAAGAGUUUGAUCAUGGCUCAGAUUGAACGCUGGCGGCAGGCCUAACACAUGCAAGUCGAGCGGCAGCGGGAAAGUAGCUUGCUACUUUUGCCGGCGAGCGGCGGACGGGUGAGUAAUGCCUGGGGAUCUGC
rnacentral:rRNA from 1 species